AGCGAACGCUGGCGGCAGGCUUAACACAUGCAAGUCGAACGGGCACUUCGGUGUCAGUGGCAGACGGGUGAGUAACGCGUGGGAACAUACCUCUUGGUUCGGAACAACACAGGGAAACUUGUGCUAAUACCGGAUAAGCCCUUACGGGGAAGAUUUAUCGCCGAGAGAUUGGCCCGCGUCUGAUUAGCUAGUUGGCGUGGUAAAAGCGCACCAAGGCGACGAUCAGUAGCNGGUCUGAGAGGAUGAUCAGCCACAUUGGGACUGAGACACGGCCCAAACUCCUACGGGAGGCAGCAGGUGGGGAAUAUUGGACAAUGGGCGCAAGCCUGAGCCAGCCAUGCCGCGUGAGUGAUGAAGGCCC
rnacentral:rRNA from 1 species